UUUUCAUGCUUAGCUUUGUUAAUGUGUUCAAUAUGCUAUUUUUCAAAAAAUACCAGACAGUUGUCCAAAAAUAAUACACAAAUGUUCCUUUUUCAUUUUUCCCCAACAAUUAUUGCACAAUCUGUCUAGAAUUGCUCAGAUGAAUGAUAGAUGAGCAAAUAUGCAAAAGAAAUCUGCAUAUUCAUUGAAGAAACCUUGGGAAAUAAGAAAUGUUGUUGCCCUGAGCUACUAUUUGCCUUGCAAGUUUCUAAGGAAAGAUCUCUGUGUCCCUGAAGAGCAUAUGCUAAACAUCCUGACAUUUCCACUUGCAACGCACAGUAGACAGUGCCUGAGGCAAGCACUGGUGUAUGAGCUGGAUGGAGCUGAAUACAAUUCAUAUCAAAUAAGCCAGGGGACAGAGCACAGAGAACUCCCAUUUCCAAGAAUUAUCACCUGUUGGACUGCUUUGCUACAAAAUAUUGAUGGUGGGAAUGAGCAUAAAUGAAGAAACCUGCCCGUAUUGGGAAAGUUAUUAUACUUUUCUAAGGAUAGGAGCCUGGUGCUACAUUCUUUGAAUUCUUACAAUAUUAUCGGGUUUUCACCUGUUUCCAGGUGGUUUCUUGGUGACAUUAUGUGUAGUUUGAUUAUAUCAUCUAUAGUUUAAG